GACGAACGCUGGCGGCGUGCUUAACACAUGCAAGUCGAACGGAAAGGCCCUGCUUUUGUGGGGUGCUCGAGUAGCGAACGGGUGAGUAACACGUGUGUAACCUGCCCUUGACUUUGGGAUAACUUCAGGAAACUGGGGCUAAUACCGGAUAGGAGCUCCUGCUGCAUGGUGGGGGUUGGAAAGUUUCGGCGGUUGGGGAUGGACUCGCGGCGUAUCAGCUUGUUGGUGGGGUAGUGUCUUACCAAGGCUUUGACGGGUAGCCGGCCUGAGAGGGUGACCGGCCACGUUGGGACGGGGAUACGGCCCAGACUACAAUGGGAGGCAGGAGUGGAGAGGAGUGCAUAAGGGGCUGAAGCCUAAUGUAGCAACGCCGCGUGGGGGAAGACGGCCUUCGGGUUGUAAACCGCUUUCGCCUGUGACGAAGCGAGAGUGACGGUAAUGGGUAAAGAAGCACCGGCUAACUACGUG
rnacentral:rRNA from 1 species